UCGUAACAAGGUAGCCAGGUAGAGUUUGAUCCUGGCUCAGACGUAACAAGGUAGCCAGGUAGAGUUUGAUCCUGGCUCAGACUCUAAGUCGUAACAAGGUAGCCAAGGGCGAAUUCUGCCNACAUCCAUCACACUGGCGGCCGCUCGAGCAUGCAUCUAGAGGGCCCAAUUCGCCCUAUAGUGAGUCGUAUUACAAUUCACUGGCCGUCGUUUUACAACGUCGUGACUGGGAAAACCCUGGCGUUACCCAACUUAAUCGCCUUGCAGCACAUCCCCCUUUCGCCAGCUGGCGUAAUAGCGAAGAGGCCCGCACCGAUCGCCCUUCCCAAACAGUUGCGCAGCCUGAAUGGCGAAUGGACGCGCCCCUGU
rnacentral:rRNA from 1 species